rnacentral:lncRNA from 1 species
UUCACGAAUGCAAACUUCACGAGGCUGCCCGGCCCCAUCCUUUCCAGAAGAUCAUAUCUACAGCAAAACGGUGCUUUAUCCUAGAAAUCCCUUUUCAAUCCAAAUCCUAAUGGAACUCCUUGACAACCCCUUGACUAAAUUACAUUAGUAAUAUAGUUCCUAACAAUUUCCUUUGUUAGGAAGGGGAGCAAAAGGGCAAAAAAAAAAAUCAUUUUUUUAAAAAAAUAAUGAAAAUUGCAAAGGCUUAAAUACUGAAAGAAUUGCUUGCCUCUACAACAAAUCUGUAUCAUUACUAACAAGCGAUAAAAGGCCUUCCGAUGGAUACCAAAUGAGAACCUUCCAGAGGGCCACGGGCGCCCAGCUGGAAACCCCUGCUAAGAGCAUCUGCAGUCUGAACCCACAGUGACUGCGCGUCUUCUCUGGAUGCCAUUAACAGACCUCUGCGAAGGGAGGCUUCGGCUGCUCCACGUCAGCUUUAGGAUUGGCUCUGAGUCAAUACAAGUAGGAAGUUCAACUGGUUCCCUGGGUGUUCAUUCCUGGUUGGAGAGCUGUUUGGGAGGCUGGGAAGGUCCAUUAGAAGCAUAAUUCUAUUCCAGAGGUGGCUUGGCAGAUGGAGCAUAUCAUGGGUUAAUUUCUCAGCAUGUCACAGAAAGCAAUUCCUACUAGACCUGAAGAAAGUGGCUUCUCUCUUAACAGAAUGUUAUCUUCUUCUAGAGAGUAAUAUG